UCCCCUGCAUGCUCACAUGAGUAAAGCCAGAGGGGCUUCAGUGGUGUAGUCGUCAGAGCAAGCGCCUUUCAACUCUGAGAAUUAGAUUUCGAUUCUCACUACGGACUCCUGUGAAAAUUAGAGUCAAUCAAUGCUCUGCCGAAAGUCAGGGGAGCCGGAAGGACUGAAAAGUGGCGGGGGCAGAAUCUCGAAAAGGGCACUUGAUGGCCGAAGGUGCGAGACCUUGUAUGGGGUGUCCGGGGGCAUCCUCUCCCGAGAAAUUUUUAAAUCUAGAGUCUC